rnacentral:rRNA from 1 species
AUGACAAUAAAUAAAAGCCAAGGUCAAUCCCUAAACAAGGUGGGUCUAUAUUUGCCUAAGCAAGUCUUCUGCCAUGGGCAACUAUAUGUGGCACUAUCAAGAGUCACAAGCAGAGAAGGAUUAAAGGUGCUGAUUGACGACACGGAGUGCCCAAGCGAAGAUAGCGCAAAGAAUAUAGUAUACAAAGAGAUCUUCUAA